UACGAAGGGGGCUAGCGUUGCUCGGAAUCACUGGGCGUAAAGGGCGCGUAGGCGGCGUUUUAAGUCGGGGGUGAAAGCCUGUGGCUCAACCACAGAAUGGCCUUCGAUACUGGGACGCUUGAGUAUGGUAGAGGUUGGUGGAACUGCGAGUGUAGAGGUGAAAUUCGUAGAUAUUAGGAAGAACACCAGUGGCGAAGGCGGCUGUCUGGUCCGGUUCUGACGCUGAGGCGCGAAAGCGUGGGGAGCAAACAGG
rnacentral:rRNA from 1 species